rnacentral:rRNA from 1 species
AUGUUGGUUCAUGAAGGGAAAUCUCAAGAUGUGAAUCAGAUUUCGAUGGGGAUUCGUGCUAUAACUGCAAACUAUGUGAAUGCCCACUCCCCUAGUGUGACUAGUAGAAAAGAAGGAUGGAGCCGACCUCCUAUGGGUUUUGUUAAACUAAAUGUUGAUGCUUCUUUUGACCACGAUCUGCUCAGGGGCACGGCAGGUGCGAUGCUCAGAGAUGACAAAGGAAACUUCAUUGCUGACGGAAAUUGGAAGAUCGAUUGGUGUGCUGAUGUACUAACAGCAGAAGCGAUGGCUCUUAGGUUUGGUUUAAUUCUUGCACAAAAGGUGGGAUGCAAUCGUCUUAUUAUUAACUCUGAAAAUAUGGAAGUCAUUGACACAAUGAAGAAUGGAGGACAAUCGGUGGGGGUUGCAGCGGCAGUAUUCUAG